UCAGCCACUCAACAAGCACCACUGAGGGGCCACUGAAUGCAGAACAUCAUCAGACCUGCUAUGAAGAGACACAGAGAAAGGACCCUCAGAAGGAAAAAACCCACCCCAAACCCAAGAACAAUAUAGAAGGUUUACACUGAGAAAUCCUUGUGAUUAUAUCGAGCCCACCUGGAUAAUGCAGGAGAAUUUCCCAUCUCAGGAUCCUUACGUUAAUCACACCUGCGGAAUGCCUUCCUUUUGCCGUGUGCUGUGGUUUCGCCGCCUGUGUCCCCCCUAAUGUCCAAUGGGAUGGUGUUAGGAGGUGGGGCCUUUGGGAUGUGCUUAAGUCAUGAAGGUGGAGCCCUCAUGAAUGGAUUAAUGGUCUUAUAAAAGAGACCCCGGAA